GACCACUCAGGUGGCCUAGUGGUUAGAGUGUCUGCCUCAGAUGCAGGGGGUCAUAUGUUCGAUCCCCACCAGAGUCA